GCGAGGGUGGCGGAAUGGCAGACGCGCUAGCUUGAGGUGCUAGUGCUGGAAACGGCAUGUGGGUUCAAGUCCCAUCCUUCGCACCA
rnacentral:tRNA from 1 species